rnacentral:lncRNA from 1 species
AACAAACAUGAGAGAAUAUUUUUAUUAAAUAGAAGAAAACUAUAACUCCUCUAUAGUUCUAAAGAGAGAAUAAUUACACACUGUCUCUCCUAUAAUAGGAAAAUACACUUAAAAAAACUCCUAAGUAUUUCACUCUAUCUCUCACAAUGAGAUGCUACUAUUGAGAUGGAAUGCAAAAAUGAUGAAAGGAAGGGGCUAUUUAUAUAUAGCCAAAGGAUGAACCUUGGUCUUUAAAUGCAUUGUAGAAUUUUUCUACUCCCGGACCAAUUCACAUUCUGCUAUGUAGAAAUUUUACGGCCGUGCUUGUUGAAAUUUUAUGCCACCAAAGAGGCUUUACUUACUUUCACGGUUUCACAGCUCCUAGCAUUUUACAGCAUUUAUCCAUUAUGCAGUAGUAGUGAUCUAUUACUAGUACAAUAAAAGGAAAGAUUUGAUCGAUCGCCAAUAAAGUUUGAAUAUGAAGGAAACCUUGGUAAUCCUUGAGCUACCGAGAUACUAUCCAUUCUGAUCAUUAUUAGCGAAAAUGCUAAUUAAAGUUAUGAAGAUCUCAUCAUCCGUGUGGAAAUUUAAGCGUUCCAAAACUCUAAGCAUGCAUGUUACAAACAAAAAAAGCACCUAGGAUGAAAUCAUUCUUAUCGCAACCAACAGAGUAGGGUUCUAAGGAAUGCGAUACAUUUUCAAUUAAUUAAUCUCUCUCACAUGACUCAAAUCCUUACAUUUUAAGACAAAAUAAGCAAGAAAUUGGUUAAAACAUGUAGGAGCUAGCAUCUUACUAGAUCCCUUCACAAGAAUCACUCAAACAAAGAUUCCAUAAUAAAGAAAGAAAUAUUUUCUUUAUGAUCUCUACGGAAUUAUUUAACAGUCCGCGACAGAUAAAAAUAAAACCCAAAUUUCAUAAAAGGUCAAACAUAUCAUGCACCCUGAGAAGGGGCAAAACAUGAACAGAAAAAUAAAAAAAUUAUACAUCUGAUUCCAUCCCUAAUUAAUAGCUAGCUAGCCUCUACCCUAUUGAAAAGUGAACUCAGCAUAGACUUUAACAUCCUUCUAGUUGUAUAUAUGUUAUCUAUGUAACAUGUUUUUUGAAGAUAAAUAAUACAUACUAGCCAAGGAAAGAAACAACAACCACAUCUAGUUCCUUGAUGUUUCCAAAAAGGGGGAACAAAAAUAGGUACUAAUUAAGUAUAUAAUAGGCUUCAUCAAUAACUUGCCUGGCUUGAGCCUGUGUGCCGCAUGUGUAGACUAGACGACAGUAUGAACAAGAGAAAUCAUGGAGUCAUCACCUUCAUCUUGUGUUCAGCCAUCUCUGCAGUUAGAUCCAUCCUAUUAGGUGGAUAGUUUCAGCUAGAACAGGUUCUGAAGCCAUGGGAUAUAGUAUAUAUAGUGAGAAUAGGCUGUUAGAUCAGUGAGGGAAAAAAAGCCAAGUUAAUGGGGUUUGGCAAAAUAAGGGUGAUGAUAUAUAUUGUAGUUGUAGUUGUAUAUAUGAAUAAUGAUAAUGGAUCACCCAUUAGUAACUUUUGUUCUUUGACCCAACCCUUCCUGUAUUCUUAGCCAAAGAUGUAAUCAUACAGGUCUGAGUGGGAA